AGAGUUUGAUCCUGGCUCAGAAUCAACGCUGGCGGCGUGCCUAACACAUGCAAGUCGCACGAGAAAGUGGAGCAAUCCAUGAGUACAGUGGCGCACGGGUGAGUAACACGUGAAUGAUCUACCUCCGAGUGGGGAAUAACUGAGAGAAAUCUUAGCUAAUACCGCAUAGUACCCACGGGUCAAAGCAGCAAUGCGCUUGGAGAGGAGUUCGCGGCCGAUUAGCUAGUUGGCGGGGUAAUGGCCCACCAAGGCGAUGAUCGGUAUCCGGCCUGAGAGGGCGCACGGACACACUGGAACUGAAACACGGUCCAGACUCCUACGGGAGGCAGCAGUGGGGAAUUUUGCGCAAUGGGGGAAACCCUGACGCAGCAACGCCGCGUGGAGGAUGAAAUCCCUUGGGAUGUAAACUCCUUUCGAUAGGGAAGAUAAUGACGGUACCUAUAGAAGAAGCCCCGGCUAACUUCGUGCCAGCAGCCGCGGUAAUACGAGGGGGGCAAGCGUUGUUCGGAAUUAUUGGGCGUAAAGGGUGCGUAGGCGGUUUGACAAGUCUGAUGUGAAAUCUAUGGGCUCAACCCAUAGUCUGCAUCGGAAACUGUCGGGCUUGAGUAUGGGAGAGGUGAGUGGAAUUUCCGGUGUAGCGGUGAAAUGCGUAGAUAUCGGAAGGAACACCUGUGGCGAAAGCGGCUCACUGGACCAUUACUGACGCUGAGGCACGAAAGCUAGGGGAGCAAACAGGAUUAGAUACCCUGGUAGUCCUAGCCCUAAACGAUGAUUGCUUGAUGUGGCAGGU
rnacentral:rRNA from 1 species